UACGUAGGCAGCAAACGUUGUUCGGAAUUACUGGGCGUAAAGAGUGUGUAGGCGGUUCUGUAAGUUUGGUGUGAAAUCUCCCGGCUUAACUGGGAGGGUGUGCCGAAAACUGCAGGGCUUGAGUGCUGGAGAGGAGAGCGGAAUUCCUGGUGUAGCGGUGAAAUGCGUAGAUAUCAGGAGGAACACCGGCGGUGUAGACGGCUCUCUGGACAGUAACUGACGCUGAGACACGAAAGCGUGGGGAGCAAACAGG
rnacentral:rRNA from 1 species